AGAGUUUGAUCCUGGCUCAGGACGAACGCUGGCGGCGUGCUUAACACAUGCAAGUCGAACGAUGAAGCGGUGCUUGCACCGUGGAUUAGUGGCGAACGGGUGAGUAAUACGUGAGUGACCUACCUUUGACUCUGGGAUAAGCCUGGGAAACUGGGUCUAAUACCGGAUACGACCAAUCUCUGCAUGGGGUGUUGGUGGAAAGCGUUAUGGAGUGGUUUUAGAUGGGCUCACGGCCUAUCAGCUUGUUGGUGAGGUAAUGGCUUACCAAGGCGACGACGGGUAGCCGGCCUGAGAGGGUGACCGGCCACACUGGGACUGAGACACGGCCCAGACUCCUACGGGAGGCAGCAGUGGGGAAUAUUGCACAAUGGGCGCAAGCCUGAUGCAGCGACGCCGCGUGAGGGAUGACGGCCUUCGGGUUGUAAACCUCUGUUAGCAUCGAAGAAGCGAAAGUGACGGUAGGUGCAGAGAAAGCGCCGGCUAACUACGUGCCAGCAGCCGCGGUAAUACGUAGGGCGCGAGCGUUGUCCGGAAUUAUUGGGCGUAAAGAGCUUGUAGGCGGUUGGUCGCGUCUGCUGUGAAAGGCCGGGGCUUAACUCCGGUUUUGCAGUGGGUACGGGCUAACUAGAGUGCAGUAGGGGAGACUGGAAUUCCUGGUGUAGCGGUGGAAUGCACAGAUAUCAGGAGGAACACCGAUGGCGAAGGCAGGUCUCUGGGCUGUAACUGACGCUGAGAAGCGAAAGCAUGGGGAGCGAACAGGAUUAGAUACCCUGGUAGUCCAUGCCGUAAACGUUGGGCACUAGGUGUGGGGGACAUUCCACGUUUUCCGCGCCGUAGCUAACGCAUUAAGUGCCCCGCCUGGGGAGUACGGCCGCA
rnacentral:rRNA from 1 species